UCUGAACAUACACAGCAAAGGUGCUGAUGAUCCAUGACUGUGUUUUUGAGUUAAUGUAUGGAAAAUGAAAAUCAAGAUGGCCGUCAGCAGCCAUCUUGGUGGUGGAGUGAAGCAUAUCAGCUCAUUCUUAUUCAGAGAAUC